AUGAAGCAAAUAGGAGAGACCCGAAAGGGCGCCGAAGGGGUAAGUAAAACUCGCCAAGUUUUAUGAUACUCUCAGGCAAAAGUACUAUUUGUGGACA
rnacentral:ncRNA from 2 species